rnacentral:tRNA from 1 species
AGCCCACGAAGUGAGAUACGCCAAAUGCAAAUUUGGAGAAGCUCCCCCAUAGGGAGCCGGGGCUU